CCUACGGGAGGCAGCAGUAGGGAAUAUUGCGCAAUGGAGGAAACUCUGACGCAGCGACGCCGCGUGAGCGAUGAAGGCUUUCGGGUCGUAAAGCUCUGUCGGGAGGGACGAAACACGAUUUGGCUAAUAUCCAAGUCGCUUGACGGUACCUCCAGAGGAAGCACCGGCUAACUACGUGCCAGCAGCCGCGGUAAUACGUAGGGUGCUAGCGUUGUUCGGAAUUAUUGGGCGUAAAGAGCGUGUAGGUGGUCUUGUAAGUCUGAUGUGAAAUCCCUGGGCUCAACCGAGGAAGUGCAUCAGAAACUGCAUGGCUAGAGGAUGGCAGAGGGAAGUGGAAUUCCUAGUGUAGAGGUGAAAUUCGUAGAUAUUAGGAGGAAUACCGGUGGCGAAGGCGGCUUCCUGGACCAUUCCUGACACUGAGACGCGAAAGCGUGGGUAGCAAACAGGAUUAGAUACCCUGGUAGUCCACGCCGUAAACGAUGGUACUAGGUGUUGNGGAGUAGACCUCGCAGUGCGACGACGACGCGAGAAGUACCCGCCGCGGUAAGGUACGGUCGCGAGAAGUUAAACGUUAACUAAUUAGAGUUAGACGGCGUUGAGACGNGCCGACGGACGACGACGAGGGAGGAGG
rnacentral:rRNA from 1 species